rnacentral:pre_miRNA from 1 species
CUUAUACUCCCUCUGUUCCAAAAUUCUUGUCUUAAAUUUGUUUAGAUAUGAAUGUAUCUAGUCAAGUUUUAGUAUUUAGAUACAUUCAUUUCUAGAUAAAGCUAAGACAAGAAUUUUGGGACGGAGGGUGUAGAAA